rnacentral:rRNA from 1 species
UACGUAGGUCCCGAGCGUUGUCCGGAUUUAUUGGGCGUAAAGCGAGCGCAGGUGGUUUAUUAAGUCUGGUGUAAAAGGCAGUGGCUCAACCAUUGUAUGCAUUGGAAACUGGUAGACUUGAGUGCAGGAGAGGAGAGUGGAAUUCCAUGUGUAGCGGUGAAAUGCGUAGAUAUAUGGAGGAACACCGGUGGCGAAAGCGGCCCUCUGGCCUGUAACUGACACUGAGGCUCGAAAGCGUGGGGAGCAAAUAGG